GAACUCUCAGAUUCUGCACCAAGCCUGCCUGGAUGCUGCCAUGUUGCUGCUUUGAUGAGACUGGACUGAACCUCUGAACUUGCUCGAAGGCUUAACAAGGCCAAGUAACCAUGGGUUGACACCUCAAAGAAACGGGAGCUCGGAAUUGAUUCCCCCCCCCCCCUUUUAAGAGACCUCUGAUAUGGGCUACGGAAGACAGUUUGGAGAACUCCUUCUGCUGAACGCAUGGAGGCUCCUGGAGGACGGAUGGCCCGAGGAAGAGAAGUGGAGGCUCAAUGUCCUUUCCACCCACUCUGCCCUUGGCAUCUCUCCUACCCAUCCCUUCAUCUGCAUGCCUCAGCACGCCUCAGGGCUGAGGACCUGACUCAGUUUCCAGGCUCAUGUAAGGCUCUGGCUUCACUAAAGCGAAAUAAAGUAAAA
rnacentral:lncRNA from 1 species